rnacentral:lncRNA from 12 species
GAUGUCUCCCCCCGCCCCGCCUCCCCCCUGCACCCGUUUGCGGCCGCGCCGCCGCCUCCCUCCCGAGCGGCCGCCGCGUCCCGGGCGCGCGCCGGAGCCUCCUCCGCCGCCGCCGCCGCCGCCGCCGCCGCCGCCGCCGCCGCCGCAGCCCGAGGCGGGAGGGUGCGGGCGCCCCGUGCGCACAGCGCGGCGCUCCUGCUCCCCGGUGGCCGCCCGCGGACCCGCCGCCCUUCCUCGAGAGCAAGCGAGGGCGGGCGAAGCCGGCGCAGACGCCGCCCGGGACGGCGGCCCUUCCCCGCGCGCGCAACGCACUUGUCUGCGGCGGCGGCAGCGACACACGGACGCGGCGGCUGAGCCGGAGCGGGAGCCGCAGCGGGAGCGCGGCGGGGAGCGCGGGGAGCGCGCGGAGCGCCGGCCGGUGUCCCCCGAGACUGGCCUGGGCGCGCCAGGCGGACUCCUGGGGAGCGCACGCUCGGGCCCCGCGGGAAGGCGCCCUCGCCCGCACCCUCACCACGCGGGCCGGCCCCGACGACCGCCGCUCCAGCCUGCAGCCCGGAGCCUGGAGCCCGGAGCCCGGAGCCCGGAGCCCGCGGCGGAUGGUGGGACUCUCCAGCCCGGCGCCGCAAAAGAUUGAUCUCUGGGCUGGUGAACAUAAUAUCUGUCCCAGUCAGAAAAGGAGAGAGGAAAUUAGCAGAGCGAUUGGUGGAGAAUGAUAUCUGUCAAAAGAAACACUUGGAGAGCACUGAGUUUAGUAAUAGGUGACUGCCGGAAAAAAGGGAACUUUGAAUAUUGUCAAGGCGCACGCGCCCAGCACCCUGCCUCGGGCUAUGCCGCCCCAGCCCCUUCUGACGGCCCUCCUCUCUCUGCCGCCGCUCAUUCCAGAACAGGAGGCAUGAGCCCCGAUCGCGCUGGAUUUUAGGAGAGAGUCCCUUUCCGGGUGGACGCUGGAUUCAAGGAUGCCUGAUCGGACUGAGAAGCACUCCACGAUGCCAGACUCACCUGUGGAUGUGAAGACCCCGUCUAGGCUGACUCCUCCUACCAUGCCACCUCCCCCCACAACUCAAGGAGCUCCGAGAACGAGUUCAUUUACACCGACGACUUUAACUAAUGGCACGAGCCAUUCACCCACAGCCUUGAAUGGCGCCCCCUCGCCGCCCAAUGGCUUUAGCAAUGGGCCUUCCUCUUCUUCCUCCUCUUCUCUGGCUAAUCAACAGCUGCCCCCAGCCUGUGGCGCCAGGCAGCUCAGUAAGCUGAAACGGUUCCUUACUACCCUGCAGCAGUUUGGCAAUGACAUUUCUCCAGAGAUAGGAGAGAGAGUCCGCACCCUCGUACUAGGACUGGUGAACUCUACUUUGACAAUUGAAGAAUUUCAUUCCAAACUGCAAGAAGCUACUAACUUCCCACUGCGACCUUUUGUCAUCCCAUUUCUGAAGGCCAACCUGCCCCUGCUGCAGCGCGAGCUCCUCCACUGCGCAAGGCUGGCCAAACAGAACCCUGCCCAGUACCUCGCCCAGCAUGAACAGCUGCUUCUGGAUGCCAGCACCACCUCACCUGUUGACUCCUCAGAGCUGCUUCUCGAUGUGAACGAAAACGGGAAGAGGCGAACUCCAGACAGAACCAAAGAAAAUGGCUUUGACAGAGAGCCUUUGCACUCAGAACAUCCAAGCAAGCGACCAUGCACUAUUAGCCCAGGCCAGCGGGACUCCUAUCGACACCCCAGCCACAGGGACCUCAGGGACAGAAACAGACCUAUGGGGUUGCAUGGCACACGUCAAGAAGAAAUGAUUGAUCACAGACUAACAGACAGAGAAUGGGCAGAGGAAUGGAAACAUCUUGACCAUCUGCUGAACUGCAUCAUGGACAUGGUGGAGAAGACGCGGCGCUCCCUCACGGUGCUGCGGCGCUGCCAGGAGGCCGACCGCGAGGAGCUCAAUUACUGGAUCCGGCGCUACAGCGACGCCGAGGACCUGAAGAAAGGCGGCGGCGGUGGCGGCGGCCACUCCAGACAGCAGAGUCCGGUCAACCCGGACCCGGUUGCACUAGAUGCGCAUCGGGAAUUCCUUCACAGGCCUGCUUCUGGAUACGUGCCAGAGGAGAUCUGGAAGAAAGCUGAGGAGGCGGUCAACGAGGUGAAGCGCCAGGCGAUGACCGAGCUGCAGAAGGCCGUGUCCGAGGCCGAGCGGAAGGCCCACGACAUGAUCACCACCGAGCGCGCCAAGAUGGAGCGCACGGUGGCCGAGGCCAAGCGGCAGGCGGCGGAGGAUGCGCUGGCCGUCAUCAACCAGCAGGAGGAUUCGAGCGAGAGUUGCUGGAACUGCGGCCGCAAAGCUAGCGAGACGUGCAGCGGCUGUAACACGGCCCGGUACUGUGGCUCAUUUUGCCAGCACAAGGACUGGGAGAAGCACCACCACAUCUGCGGCCAGACCCUGCAGGCCCAGCAGCAGGGGGACACGCCCGCUGUCAGCUCCUCCGUCACGCCCAACAGCGGGGCCGGCAGCCCCAUGGACACACCACCAGCAGCCACCCCGAGGUCGACCACCCCGGGGACCCCCUCUACCAUAGAGACAACCCCUCGCUAG